AACGAACGCUGGCGGCGUGCUUAACACAUGCAAGUCGAACGCGGAAGGGACUUCGGUCCUGAGUAAAGUGGCGCACGGGUGAGUAACGCGUAGAUAACCUGUCUUCAUGUCUGGAAUAAUACGCCGAAAGGGGUACUAAUACCGGAUAUUCUUGCUUUUCAUAAGUUAUGCAAGCAAAGGUGGCCUCUGCAUAUGCUACUGCAUGAAGAGGGGUCUGCGUACCAUUAGCUAGUAGGUGGGGUAAUGGCCUACCUAGGCGACGAUGGUUAGCGGGGUCUGAGAGGAUGAUCCGCCACACUGGCACUGGAACACGGGCCAGACUCCUGCGGGAGGCAGCAGUGAGGAAUAUUGCGCAAUGGGGGAAACCCUGACGCAGCGACGCCGCGUGAGUGAAGGAAGGCCUUCGGGUCGUAAAGCUCUGUCAAGAGGAAAGAAGUGUACAAUGGCUAAUACCUGUUGUAUUUGACGGUACCUCUAAAGGAAGCACCGGCUAACUCCGUGCCAGCAGCCGC
rnacentral:rRNA from 1 species